GUUAGGGAGCUGUCGAAGGUGGGAUCGGCGAUUGGGACGAAGUCGUAACAAGGUAGCCGUACCGGAAGGUGCGGCUGGAUCACCUCCUUUCUAAGGAGYA
rnacentral:rRNA from 1 species